UGGGGAAUUUUGGACAAUGGGCGCAAGCCUGAUCCAGCCAUGCCGCGUGUGGGAAGAAGGCCUUCGGGUUGUAAACCACUUUUGUCAGGGAAGAAACGGCCUGAUCUAAUACAUUGGGUUAAUGACGGUACCUGAAGAAUAAGCACCGGCUAACUACGUGCCAGCAGCCGCGGUAAUACGUAGGGUGCGAGCGUUAAUCGGAAUUACUGGGCGUAAAGCGUGCGCAGGCGGCUUUGCAAGACAGAUGUGAAAUCCCCGGGCUCAACCUGGGAACUGCAUUUGUGACUGUAGAGCUAGAGUACGGUAGAGGGGGAUGGAAUUCCGCGUGUAGCAGUGAAAUGCGUAGAUAUGCGGAGGAACACCGAUGGCGAAGGCAAUCCCCUGGACCUGUACUGACGCUCAUGCACGAAAGCGUGGGGAGCAAACAGGAUUAGAUACCCCAGUAGUCCCUGAGCGGGCUGGCAAGGCGCAU
rnacentral:rRNA from 1 species